rnacentral:pre_miRNA from 1 species
CCUAAGAUUUUCUUUGCUUUCUUUUUUUGAUGGCUGGAAUCCAGUAAGAACUUAAUCAUUUUGAUUCAUCCAUUCACUGGUUCCAUCCAUCAAAGAAAAAAAUCAAGUAAAAUUUGGCCGG